rnacentral:rRNA from 1 species
AGAGUUUGAUCCUGGCUCAGGACGAACGCUAGCGACAGGCCUAACACAUGCAAGUCGAGGGGCAGCGGGGAGGCAGCGAUGCCUCCGCCGGCGACCGGCGCACGGGUGAGUAACACGUAUGCAACCUGCCCGGCCCAGGGGAAUAAGCGGCGGAAACGCCGUCUAAUUCCGCGUACACCUCCCAGCGGGCAUCCGCGGGGAGGGAAAGGAGGCGACUCCGGGGCCGGAUGGGCAUGCGGCGCAUUAGCUAGUUGGCGGGGCAACGGCCCACCAAGGCUGCGAUGCGUAGGGGUUCUGAGAGGAAGGCCCCCCACAUUGGAACUGAGACACGGUCCAAACUCCUACGGGAGGCAGCAGUGAGGAAUAUUGGUCAAUGGGCGAGAGCCUGAACCAGCCAAGUCGCGUGAGGGAAGACGGCCCUACGGGUUGUAAACCUCUUUUGCCGGGGAGCAAAGAGCGGGACGCGUCCCGCCUCGAGAGAACCCGGAGAAAAAGCAUCGGCUAACUCCGUGCCAGCAGCCGCGGUAAUACGGAGGAUGCAAGCGUUAUCCGGAUUUAUUGGGUUUAAAGGGUGCGCAGGCGGAAGCGCAAGUCAGCGGUAAAAUUGAGAGGCUCAACCUCUUCCCGCCGUUGAAACUGCGUUUCUUGAGUGGGCGAGAAGUACGCGGAAUGCGUGGUGUAGCGGUGAAAUGCAUAGAUAUCACGCAGAACUCCGAUUGCGAAGGCAGCGUACCGGCGCCCAACUGACGCUCAUGCACGAAAGCGUGGGUAUCGAACAGGAUUAGAUACCCUGGUAGUCCACGCAGUAAACGAUGAAUACUCGCUGUCCGGGGAGAUUGGUCUCUGGGCGGCCAAGCGAAAGCGUUAAGUAUUCCACCUGGGGAGUACGCCGGCAACGGUGAAACUCAAAGGAAAUGACGGGGGCCCGCACAAGCGGAGGAACAUGUGGUUUAAUUCGAUGAUACGCGAGGAACCUUACCCGGGCUCAAACGACGGAUGAAUACUUUUGAAAGGAGGUAGUCCUUCGGGACAUCCGUCGAGGUGCUGCAUGGUUGUCGUCAGCUCGUGCCGUGAGGUGUCGGCUUAAGUGCCAUAACGAGCGCAACCCCCAUCGCCAGUUGCCAACAGGUAAAGCUGGGAACUCUGGCGAGACUGCCGGCGCAAGCUGUGAGGAAGGCGGGGAUGACGUCAAAUCAGCACGGCCCUUACGUCCGGGGCGACACACGUGUUACAAUGGCAGGUACAGAGAGAUGCGACACGGCGACGUGGAGCGGAACUGUCAAAACCUGUCUCAGUUCGGAUCGGAGUCUGCAACCCGACUCCGUGAAGCUGGAUUCGCUAGUAAUCGCGCAUCAGCCAUGGCGCGGUGAAUACGUUCCCGGGCCUUGCACACACCGCCCGUCA